rnacentral:tRNA from 1 species
CGCGGGGUGGAGCAGCCCGGUAGCUCGUCAGGCUCAUAACCUGAAGGCCGCAGGUUCAAAUCCUGCCCCCGCAACCAAUAACUUACACAAAAUAUCAAUACGAUAAGCCCUCCCAAAAGGAGGGC